GGGUUGUGAGGUUAAGCGACUAAGCGUACACGGUGGAUGCCCUGGCAGUCAGAGGCGAUGAAGGGCGUGCUAAUCUGCGAUAAGCGCCGGUAAGGUGAUAUGAACCGUUAUAACCGGCGAUUUCCGAAUGGGGAAACCCAGUGUGAUUCGUCACACUAUCAUUAACU
rnacentral:rRNA from 1 species